UACGGGGGGGGCAAGCGUUGUUCGGAAUUACUGGGCGUAAAGGGCUCGUAGGCGGCCAACUAAGUCAGACGUGAAAUCCCUCGGCUUAACCGGGGAACUGCGUCUGAUACUGGAUGGCUUGAGUUUGGGAGAGGGAUGCGGAAUUCCAGGUGUAGCGGUGAAAUGCGUAGAUAUCAGGAGGAACACCGGUGGCGAAGGCGGCUACCUGGACAGAAACUGACGCUGAGGCACGAAAGCUAGGGGAGCAAACAGG
rnacentral:rRNA from 1 species